UCUCCUCUUCCCCCAAACCCGGCAGCCAGCCUCCGCCUCCACCUCCUGUCGCGCCCGUUCUCAUCUCCCCCGCCCCUCUCCCUCCCUACAGAUCACCCGCCGCCAGCCACCACAUCUGCCCCCCACUGACCCGCAGCCACUAGAUCGUCCCCAAGGCCAGCAGCUCCGGCCACCACGAACCCAGAUCCGGUAGCACGGGCUCACGCCCAGGCGUUCGUGUGCUGCGGUCACCUCGGUGGUGAUGGGCUCUGGAGACGCACGGGCGCGGCAACUGAGUGUUGUGUGACACGGCGACCAGUUCUCCUAGCGUGUGGAUCUCGGCGUCCUGCGGCCAGCCCCCGAGCUAUGGCUUGCGAUGCAGCGGCGGCAGCAGCCUCCCCGCCGCACCUCCGACCCAUGCUCUCCUAACACGCGGACUUCCAAGCGCUUCCGUCCAGAUCAGGUGCCUCCCCUGCUCCUCGCUUGUUGUUGGAUCCUCCGCUCAGCCCCUCCCGCCGUAGACUUCCAUGGGGUGCAGACCUUUUGAGUGGAUUAGAGAGGAGAGGAGAUGCGCUGGGGCUAGCUAGCUAGCUAGCUCUGGAUUGGCUGGCUAGAUGUGCAGACCUUGAUUCCUUCAUUUGUUAGUAGAGGCGCUAGGAUCAACCCCUUAAGCGGAGGCCGCACAAGCUCGGCGGUGCCGUCGGCGAGAUGAAUGGAGCGGCCAUCCCCGCACGACCCUCACAUGUCUUCCUCUGUCGAUUUAAGGCAGAUAUACACUAAGUGCAGCUAAUGCUCUUCCCCGAAGCAAAGCAAGGCAGAUGCAAGAGUUAAACAAAAUUCAGGUAUGCAAAUAAUUAAACUGAGAUGGAUACAAUACUGGAGGAACUUUUUGCUGCUGCUAAAGUUUUGCGGCUGUACUGGUGGUUUUUGUUGUUUCUAGUGUGUGGUCAAAGAAUGCUGAUAUCUAACUAUUAUUCUUUCUGGUGCUAUCUGUAUGCUGUGGUGAACUCUUUUCACCCCGGAUGAUCUGACAUUUCUGUUGCUGGAACAAAGCUGUAUUAUUGUAUGAUUUUCUGUGAAAUUAGCUGUUGUAAUUCUAUGUAUUA